GUGUCUAAAGUGAGUUUUGUCUAAACUAAAGGUGUUGAUGUGUUUGCACUUCAGAAAUAAAAGUUUCCAUGGCUCACAAAAACCAGUAUAAACCGGUUCUGCUCAUCUGUCUGUCCCUGUCCAUAGGCUCACUGACUUGAAGAGAGAGGACACUUGGCUUCCAUGUACGAGAAACACAAGUCCCAGAUUGAAUCACUCUAUCAGAAGAUUCCCUCAGAUUCAGAUCCAUCAGCAACCACUGACAACAUGGAGGACUCUUUCCCUGAGCGUUUCCUGUCCUCUCUCGAUGGAGUUCUUCUCUUCAGUUAUUAACUCUCGAAAACAGCAGCACAACAUGCCAGACUGUUUGACAAGUCUGUGAUUGAAUAAAUGGAAAUGGAAUCUCA